rnacentral:misc_RNA from 1 species
GCACCGGUCCGGGCACGACCUACCCGGUCGACUGGGUGUUCGUUCGCCGCGGACUGCCGGUCGAGAUCAUCGCGGAGUUCGACGUGUGGCGGAAGAUCCGCGAUUGGCAGGGAACGGUCGGCUGGGUGCACCAGAGCAUGCUGGACGGCAGACGCAUGGCGCGCAUCACCGGCGCCGACCGCGAGCUGCGGAACGAAGCGGCGGAGGAUGCAGCGGUCGUCGCGCGCCUGUCGCAGGGCGUGAUCGGCCGCCUGCUGGAAUGCGAGGCGACAUGGUGCAUGAUCGACGCCGAGGGUUAUCGCGGCUGGCUCAAGCGCGACGAAUUCUGGGGCACCUAUCCGGACGAGAAGGUGCAAUAGCCGGAAACAACGCCGGCGGGUCGGCCGGAUCGUCGCUAGUCGAAGUCGUCGGCGAGCGCCGCGCGCACCGAUUCCGGCAUGACGACCAUAUGACCGUAGGCCUGGUGCGUGAAGCCGACGAUGACCUGUGCGCCCGGCACGCGAAACUUCGUUAUCUGAGUCGGAGCAAACCGGAAACGGAUGAAUUGCACGGCAGAGGCCUUGCCGUCGGCGCUCGUGCGGUCGAUGUCGGCUUCCGACACACCCUUGAUCGUCUCCUCGCCCACGCGAAUGAAGGCCGUGUCCUCGAUACCGCCGAGGCGGGAGAGCAGCGUCUUGCGCCGGAUUGGAUCAUCGAUUUCAAAGAGAACCGUGGCGACCCAACUCGCGGCCGUCGGGAAUGAGCGGGUUGUAGGCGCUGAGCUCAUCGGCGAUCUGCGCCUCGCCACCCUUUUCGAUGUACAGCAUCUCCUGCACCUGCAGCCACAUGCUGUCGUAGUCUUCGAAAUGGAAGGUCGCGACGGGCCCGACCUCGAGCCGCCGGUUCUGCUUCCGGGCAAUCACGGCCUGCCGACGUGCGGCGCGCACCUUUGCAUACUCGGCCGGCGGCAUGAGGUCUUCCCGGGUGAUUUCUCGUUUCAUGGCAAUCGAGUGCUCCACAGUCCGGACGUGCCCGUUACAGGCCGUAGGCGCGCGCGAACAGUUCGAUCGGAUGGAGCGCGGGUCCGGCCGCCUGCUUGCCUUGGUCCAGACGCUCCAUGCCCUGGACGAUGUGCAUCCCAGCCAGCGGGCAUUCGGAUGCCAGGUAGGUCUUGCCGCUGUCGUUGGCCUGCCGCGCCACCGGCCGGCCGACCUUGAGCGCGGCCU